rnacentral:misc_RNA from 1 species
GGAAGGAUCAUUAACACUUAUCCAAAACCCCACAAAACGAAUGUGAAGUGUUCAAGUUUUUUAUUUUUCCAAACCGUGAACAUUUUACUUGCAUCUUGCUUUUUUUUUUUUAAAAGCAAAAUGUGAUGUGUUGGUGUUUGAGAGGAAUAAAAAACAUGACACAAAUCAAAUUUUUUUUCUUUCCCGUAAGGGAAAAAAAAAAAAAAGAACCAAAAUAUUCAUAUACACAACUUUUAACGAUGGAUAUCUUGGCUCCGACAACGAAGAAGAACGCAGCGAACUGCGAUACGUAGUGUGAAUUGCAGAUGUCUGUGAAUCAUCGAAACUUUGAACGCAAGUUGCGCAGCCAAAAGCUGCAUACCUGUUUGAGUGUUGGCAACAACAAAACUCUCCACCUAAAAUGGAGGUGGGAAAAUUUUUUUUUUCCCAUCUUUAUUGAAGAGGAGGAAUUGAGUGGUAUCGUUGUGUGUUGAAUUUAUAUUCAACAUACAAAGAGUCCCUUCAAGUUGAGCCGCUAUGAUGAUGAAGAUAUUGAUUUUCAUCCAAACAUGUCUUGGAGUCUUGCUCUUUAAAAACGAGUGAUUCUCCCUGGCUUCAUGAUUUUUGGGAAAAGAAAAAGUUACUCUUAGGUGCUUGUUCACAAUGCACAUGAUAGUACCUUUUUAUUUUUUCCCUAUCCAUAAAAUCAUAUUGCACGAAAAGAGAUAUGGAAAAUCAAAUACUUCAACAAAUUUUGUCGUGGCGAUCGAAUUGGACGAUUAAAUCCAAUCAUGUCCUUUCUCGGACAUGAAAAUGCAUUUAAUUGCAAAAAUCAACCUCAAAUCAGGUAAGACUACCUCCUGAACUUAAGCAUAUUAUUAAGGAGAGGAAAAGAACUAACUAGGAUUCCCUCAGUAAUGGCGAAUGAAGUGGGAAGAGCUCAGAUUUAAAAUCUGGCGGCCGAUGCCGUCCGAAUUGUAGUCUUUGGAAGCGACAUCUGUUCGGGUUCCAGCAUAAGUCUUUUGGAAUAGAGCGCCAGAGAGGGUGAUAGCCCCGUGUAUGGCUGGAGCGCCCGACGAUACGUUGUCGUUUUUUAGAGUCGGUUAUCUUGGGAAUGAUGACUGAAUUGCGUGGUAAAUUCCAUGUAAAGCUAAAUACCGGUCGGAGACCGAUAGCGAACAAGUAGCGCGAGCGAAAGAUGAAAAGAACUUUGAAAAGAGGGUUAAAAGGACUUGAAAUCGUUAAAAUGGAAACGAUUGGAUUCAGUAUUGACCUGUGGACAAAUCACGUAUCUCGGGCAAUACCUGUCUAUCCAGGAGGCUCCUCGUGGGUCACUGGGUGGAGCAGGCAAGGUCUACGGAUGCGGUAUUUUAGCCAUAGGUUGGUCAACAUCAGUUCGACGAGUGGGAAAAAGGCAGGAGGAAGGUAGCUCAUCUUCGGACGAGUGUUAAGACUCUUGUUGAUACCACUCGGAUUUUGGACUGAGGAAAGCAGGGUGUGCCUCGAGCUGGGCUCCUUUUGUUUAUUGUGGGUUGUGGUGUGCGGGACAGGUACUGUGCCGUGUGUCACAGCUUGCAAAUGGGCAAGAGAUUUCCACAUACACCCUCAAGAUGUUGACAAAAUGGAUUCAACCGACCCGUCUUGAAACACGGACCAAGGAGUCUAACAUAUAUGCGAGUAUUAAGGUGUGUCAAACCUUAGUGCGCAAUGAAAGUAAAGGCAAGUUUGACUUGCUGAGGUGGGAAGUUGUGGGCUGCCAUGACCGCACCAUCGACCGAUCUGGAUUUUUUUGAAAGAUUUGAGUAAGAGCAUAUCUGUUGGGACCCGAAAGACAGUGAACUAUGCGAGCAUAGGUUGAAGCCAGAGGAAACUCUGGUGGAGGAUCGUAGCGAUACUGACGUGCAAAUCGUUCGUCAAAUGUUCGUAUAGGGGCGAAAGACUAAUCGAACUGUCUAGUAGCUGGUUCCCUC